UUUAAGUAAGAACAAUGUAUAUAAUAUUAAAUAUUUCAAAUGUGCCAAGUUACAUACUCCAUUGUAUAUCAAAACAGUAAAAAUUGUAAUUAUUACAACUAAUUAGAGUUAGAAAUUAACAAAGAGAAAUUAAUAAAGAAAAUCUCUUAAAAUUUCUACAUUUCUUCAUGUUCAGUAUUAGUAUUAUCUUGACGUCCAACCUGAAACAAUUAAACAAAACGUACAAAUCUUUUAAAAUAUUAUCAAGUUUGUAAAUAAAAUAAUAUAUAAAUGCAAAAUACCUAGCCUAUAACAUUGAAUGCAAAUGAUAUGUCCAUACCUGAACCAAGUAAAGGAACAUGAGUGGAAGUAGAUGAACGUGGAGCAACUACAAUGUUUUCUUUCCCUAAAGCCCAUGAGUAUUAAGUUGCAAGAAAACUGUUAUAACUAGAUUUAUAAGAUGAAAGAGAAGCAAUUAACACAAAACCAAUUGAGCUCAAACUCUAACAAAGUUUAUUGAUCCCAUUCAGUGCAUAUACUCUUGUUUUUUCCUAUUCAUAGCAUUUUCUUUACUGACUCCUCAGUGCUGCAAAAAUAAGUACGAGGGUCAUGUAUAUUUCCUAAAUUAAAUAUUUGAUGACCUAUUUAUUGAUUAAAUCUAUUUUGCAAAGGUAAGAUUAUUUCUCAGUAAAUCUAUAACUUUAAGUAGCUUAAACCAACACUUCCCUAGUGAUAUUAUGUACUAAAAUACCAGUAUAUAACUGCAACCCACAAAUAUAAUGAACAUGCAAAUACCAGUUUACCUAAGAAUAAUCAACCUAUCUCAAAUGCUAUAGAAAAACUAAGAUAAGUUAGAGCAGAAGUUCACCUCUGAAAUGGCUAUAGUGGACCACCAAUUGAAGAAGCAAUGUUGAUAUAUUUCGCAGGCAAUGAUUUGCCAUACCAUUCACUUCAAUAACAUACCCUUUAUAAACAGGGACAAUUUCCUGAAAACAGAACCAAAAAUUAAAAACAAAAACUGAAAAUAGAAUAGAAACAUCAAUUAAAAACAGAAAACAGAACCAAGUGCUCAAGGAAAAGGUGAGAAGGAGAAUAAAAAGGCAUGGAUCAUUGUAGGGUCUGUUGUGGGGGGACUAGUAUUGUUUGUGUUGUUCUCACUUCUUGUUUUGUGGAUGAGAAAGUACAAACAGAAGAAGAAAAUGCAGCAGAUGGAAAGGACGACCGAGUUGGGAGAAC
rnacentral:lncRNA from 1 species